ACUAAAUUCAUCAUGUUUAUAGUUAGAUGAAUAAUCUAUAUAAUAAUACGGUGUUCAGGAUGUUAAAUAACUAAUAGGAUUUUCGAGUUCAUUAAACGGCAUUAUACUUGAAAUUCAUGAAAUUUCGACUGCUCUAAUCGAAAUAUCUGUGUCCCGAUUUGUCUAACUAUUUCGACAUCCGGUUUUCAACUCCAUCGCUUGGUACUUGAUAAGUUGGUAGGGCUAGUGUUGCUAAGUUUGUGUUUCUUCUGUCCAUUUCCAAAGGCAAAUUAAAGGAUGACAGAGCAUACCUCUGAUGCUGACACUUGUCAUUUGAAAAAAAGGCAUUUUUGGAAGACAUUACCAACAUCUGUGGAUUAUAAUUCAAUGCAAGAGAAAAUCUAGAGUCAUUAAACUAAUGCAAACAUGAAUAAAUCAGUCUCGAGUAACUUAUUAUUGAGAAUCUGAUUUAUUUGCUUGGAUUGGUUUAGUUAACAUCACCCCAUACUGUCUGCACUAAUAAAAAACCCCACCAUUUGGUACUAAACUUUGGUCAAUAGUGUGUAUGGAAAGAGGUGCGCAACGCCGGAAAAAUGUCCAUUCCGAAGUUGUCCGUCCC